rnacentral:rRNA from 1 species
UACAGAGGUCUCAAGCGUUGUUCGGAUUCAUUGGGCGUAAAGGGUGCGUAGGUGGCGCGCUAAGUCAGGUGUGAAAUUUCGGAGCUUAACUCCGAAACUGCAUUUGAUACUGGCGUGCUUGAGGACUGGAGAGGAGACUGGAAUUCACGGUGUAGCAGUGAAAUGCGUAGAUAUCGUGAGGAAGACCAGUGGCGAAGGCGGGUCUCUGGACAGUUCCUGACACUGAGGCACGGAAGGCCAAGGGGAGACAAACGGG